GAGGUCUUUUUAGCAACAUUAAAAAUAGCUUAUACGCGAAAUUUAAAAGUUUAAAACGCAUUUUGAGUUUAUGAGCGAGAAAUUUGUUAUGUGUUUUAUCAAUGGUUCAAAUAUCAGAAAAUUUACUCAAUUUUCAGUCUUUAAAUAGUUGCUGAAACUUUCAUUUUUUUGCACCAAUACGAUACACGCAAGCUUAAUUCGUGCAUUUACCUUUUUUCCAUAAUAUUAUUGUAAAAAAAGUAAAAUAACAGUAUGCAAAUUAGGUAAAUGCAUGAAGUAUAUAAGCAUGCGUGAUAGACAUUGGUCCCCAAAAAUGAAAGUUUCAGUCGCUAUAUAAGAAUUGACUUAGAAUUGAGUAAAUUUUCUGAGAUUUGGACCAUUGACAAAACACAAUUUAUAACAAAUUUCUCGCCCAUGAAUUCAAAAUACGUUUAAAACUUUUAAAUUUCGGGCGCAAGCUAUUUUUAAUGCUAGAAAAGCCGCCCCCCUCCCCUGCUCUGGAAAAAUUUAUCUUUGCCUAAUCUAUAUUAUAAGUACCUAAAAAUUUAUAUUUAUCAAAAAAUUCAUGAAAUGAACGGAUUUGUGAAAUUGAGAGCCGUUUCAAAAUUGUCUACUUUUUAUACAGCCUGUAUUUCAACCGUGCCUUUGCAAAGAACUUUCCAUCUUACAAUUAUGAAAUCUGAAAAAAAUAUUGGGAAGUCGGCAACUCAAAUCGACAUGACAUUUUUAGCAAGGGAGGCCUCCUGAGCUCACAACAAGGGGAUUCAACCACAAUGCAAUCACCUCCACAGUCAUGGAUGAUCUACAGUUGCGACGUUGCCGGUUAUACAUGUUGAAACAGUCGUUCGUGAGAAGCGUGAUGUAAGAACAUGCGCACAAUACUGUCUUAAAUAGAGAUUGUCAUCUUCAACAACCUAUCUAGACCUUGUUGGUCGAUGACGUCAUCCCUCGAGACAACGAAGAACUGCGACUUUAGGUGACCAUGCAUACCGAAGUGUCGUUGAGCAGAGG